rnacentral:lncRNA from 2 species
CCAGCUACUCGGGAGGCUGAGGCAGGAGAAUCACUUGAACCCGGGAGGCAGAGGUUGCCGUGAGCUGAGAUCGUGCCACUGCACUCCAGCCUGGGAGACAGAGCGAGACCUUGUCUCAAACAAAAAACAAAAAACCCUAAAACAAAACAAAACAAAAUAAAACAAAAACAACCUCUGAGAUAAUCAAGUGAGAGCUAUACAAAUCUCCAAGUUAUGAGGGAGGAAAGCCAGGAGUGAGACUGAAGGCAGAGGGCUUGGCUGCUCUGAAUGAGGUUAA